AAAGCAUUCUUUGGAGGUUUAUAGUUCUCAAAGGACUCAUCAAAGCGAAGGGUGAGAAGCUACCAUCCCUAGAAUCUAGACAACAAAAGGAUGUCUUAGCUCUGCUCUCUAAGAAGUGGCUUACUCUCCAAGCAAGAUUUGUGUUGCUGUUUAUCAUCUCUUGCAUCAUGAAUUAACUUCUCCUGACUUGCAGCAGACCUCCCCAGGAUUUGGAGAUGGCCUCCUAGACUUAGGAACAUCUUGAUUUCAGCAGAUAUCCUAACCAAGGUUAUUGGGGAACAGGUAGUUUUUGGUUAGAUGAUUACCUUCUCAACAGCUCUGUUGAAACCCAGCCCCCAAAUCCCCAGCACUUCAAGCAUUUCUCCUACCUACCUCUUCCAGAGGAGAGGCUGCAGCCAGAGAUCACCUCGAAAGGUCAUCAAGUAAUGGACAUCAUUCUAGGGAGAAGAGGGCAUCCUUGCCUUUCCUCUACACAGGAAUACCGGAGGCUGAUGUCUCUCCUGGCCUUUUAAGCCAAUCCAGAAAAGGCCUUGAUAUGCUUUGGCUGUGUCCCCACCCAAACCUUAUCUUGAACUGUAGCUCCCAUAAUCCCCAGAUGUCAU